CGCAGGUACACAGUGGAGAUGUUGAGGAACUGGUGUAGGAACAGUAGAGGAACUGUCUAUAGAGGAACUUCAGCAGCUUCUGGAUGAGCAGCAGGGAAUGGCAGCUGAGGACCCUUUCUGAAGAGGAGGGGGAGCAUCAACAAUCAGUGCAGCAAUGUUCUUCUGCAAUAAAGGAAAUCCUGAAAAACUGGACAGAGCUACACACAUUUGUAGAGAAGACCCAGACAGAGGAAAAGCUAAUUGCUGCAUUCACUUGCUUAAUGACGAUGUCAUGUCAUGCUACAGAACAGUGUUACAGACAGAAGCAGACAACCUUAGACCAGCUUUUAAAUCUGAAAAGGUUGAAACCUACUGAGUCAGAGCAAGUCCUAGUGAGCUACAGACCCUCCCAAGGAGAGAAACGACACCAGAGAGCCAGACUUCUGAUGCUCUUCUCCUUCCAAAGAGUUACCACCUUCCGUUCAUCCUCCCUUCCUACAAGCCAGAGAUGUCAACUUGAAAGCCAUUCCUCCUCUUUUCCUUGGACUGAAAUGUGCAUGCAAUUGUAUAAACUCUCGAGAUGGCCCCUGAGGAAAGGUUGAGGUUUGGAAGCCCUAAGACUGCGAUUUACGUGACACUUCCAAUGCCCUGAAGAAGAAGAAGAAGAAGGAAACCUUGAUGUGGCAGAGACAGUCUUGGCUGCCCCACCCACCCCAUCCCUGAGGUCAGCGGUGAUCCACCAUGUUCUCCCACUGAGCUCCGGGACAGGCUGGGCCUCUGGAGCCACCCUUCCUGCUCAUCUACCUUCCAGCCGAGACCCACAAGGCUUGGGCAUUUAGGAGCAGCUCCUUGGCUCGGCUGUCUAAUGAUGUGGGCAUAAUGCAAAAAGUGCCCUUUGCCUUCUCCCUCGGCUGCAAACAGAGCAGGCUGGAGGUCUCUGUGGAUAUUGGGACUGGAAAUAUAGCAGAAUUGUUCUUAUGUCCUCUAUGCUCAGUCUUCGUGUCUUUUUGGUCAUGUGACUACCCUUUUGAGAAAGAUUGGAACAAAAGAAGUGAUUGAGUGGCAGUGGGUCGGUCUCUGCGUGGGGCUAACUGUUGGCAGAUUUUAUUAUUGGAUAAUACAAAGCCAAUCUAACCUUCAGUCUUUCCUUCUUUUAACACUGGA
rnacentral:lncRNA from 1 species